UACGAAGGGGGCGAGCGUUGUUCGGAUUUACUGGGCGUAAAGGGCGCGUAGGCGGCGGGUCAAGUCGAGUGUGAAAGCCCCGGGCUCAACCUGGGAACUGCAUUUGUGACUGCACGGCUGGAGUGCGGCAGAGGGGGAUGGAAUUCCGCGUGUAGCAGUGAAAUGCGUAGAUAUGCGGAGGAACACCGGUGGCGAAGGCGGCCCCCUGGACCGGUACUGACGCUGAGGCGCGAAAGCGUGGGUAGCAAACGGG
rnacentral:rRNA from 1 species